rnacentral:rRNA from 1 species
UACGAACUGUGCGAACGUUAUUCGGAAUCACUGGGCUUACAGGGUGCGUAGGCGGCUAUUCAGGUCAGGUGUGAAAGCCCCCGGCUCAACUGGGGAGGGUCACUCGAUACUGAUCGACUCGAAGGCAGAAGAGGGAAGCGGAAUUCCCGGUGUAGUGGUGAAAUGCGUAGAUAUCGGGAGGAACACCAGUGGCGAAGGCGGCACUCUGGGCCGGAACUGACGCUGAGGAGCGAAAGCGUGGGGAGCGAACAGG